UGGCUUUCACGGGUAACGGAGGAUAGGGUUCGAUUCCGGAGAGGGAGCCUGAGAAACGGCUACCACUUCUACGGAAGGCAGCAGGCGCGUAAAUUACCCAAUCCUGAUUCAGGGAGGUAGUGACAAGAAAUAACGGACCGAAGCGCUUUUGUGUUUCGGGGUUGCAAUGAGUACAAUUUAAACCCCUUAACGAGGAUCAAUUGGAGGGCAAGUCUGGUGCCAGCAGCCGCGGUAAUUCCAGCUCCAAUAGCGUAUAUUAAAGUUGUUGCAGUUAAAAAGCUCGUAGUUGGACUUCUGGGAGGAUGCCGUCUGUCCGCCUUCACGGUGUGUGCAGCAGCGCCCUUCCAUCCUUCUGUCAACGAUUCUCGGGAUUUAUUUCCUGGCUUCGGGCUCAGAUAUUUUACCUUGAGAAAAUUAGAGUGUUUCAGGCAGGCUUGCGCCGGAAUACAUUAGCAUGGAAUAAUAGAAUAGGACUCCAGUCUCUUUGUUGGUUUCCGAGUUUGGAGUAAUGAUUAAUAGGGAUAGUUGGGGGCAUUAGUAUUUAAUUGUCAGAGGUGAAAUUCUCGGAUUUGUUAAAGACUAACUUAUGCGAAAGCAUU
rnacentral:rRNA from 1 species